rnacentral:lncRNA from 1 species
AAAAUAACACAUUUCACUUCUCAUGAAUAUUCAAGAAUAUGUGUUCGCAGCGGAAAAUAAUGAAUACUCAUGUAUUUCAUAAAAUGAUCCAUGUCCCAUACCAUGAUCAUCUCUCAAUAAUCACCUCAAGAUAAAAUCAAACAAGUAAUAACAUGAUGCAUAUCCAAAUAAGAUAUGAGUUCAAUACUACUAAUCUAACCAGUGUUACAUGACCAGAGCAUCGACUCACUACUUAGUCUUC